ensembl:snoRNA
UGAUGACAAACUCCGGAAUCUCUGUAUCACCGUGAUGAUUCCUUGAACCCUUUUAGCUGAUGACUGCCAAAACAAAAAAAUGUUGUU